UACAGAGGGUGCGAGCGUUGUUCGGAAUACUGGGCGUAAAGCGCGCGCAGGCGGAUCCUGCAAGUCUGGAGUGAAAUCUCACCGCUCAACGGUGAGGCUGCUUUGGAUACUGCGGAUCUGGAGACCGGUAGAGGCUGGUAGAAUUCCGGGUGUAGCGGUGAAAUGCGUAGAUAUCGGAAGGAACACCAGUGGCGAAAGCGGCUUCCUGGUCCCAGCACCGACGUCAGGCACGAAAGCGUGGGGAGCAAACAGG
rnacentral:rRNA from 1 species